rnacentral:rRNA from 1 species
GACGAACCGAGCGAACGUUAUUCGGAAUCACUGGGCUUAAAGGGCGCGUAGGCGGGCCAUCAAGUCAGGGGUGAAAGCCCCCAGCUCAACUGGGGAAGUGCCUCUGAUACUGGUGGCCUCGAGGGAGGUAGGGGCGUGCGGAACUUCCGGUGGAGCGGUGAAAUGCGUAGAUAUCGGGAGGAACACCUGUGGCGAAAGCGGCGCACUGGACCAUAACUGACGCUGAUGCGCGAAAGCUAGGGGAGCAAACAGG